GUUUUGACAUUUUCAUUGGCAGUGGUUGUCACAACAGGUUCUUUAACCUGCUGUUUGCAUUUGGCUUCUUUUUCAGUUUCCUCUUCUUGUUUUGCUUUUUCAGCCAUUUUUUCUUUCACAAUGUCCUAGAAAUUCAUUUUGCUUGUGAGUCCUUACCAGAAGCAUGUAGCAGUCAGGCCCACAAGGUUCUGUAAACGGUUUCAAAUCAGGUCCCCUACGUUUCUGAAGAUUCGGUCCAGGAUUGGAAGGCUGAAGUCCUAUCAAAUUAAGCUGAUAAGAAAGUAUAUGCAUUCACAGUAUGAUAAGAAAAUAAUGUAGAAUGGUAGAAGUUUGUUGUUCAUAUAAAAAGUUAUAUAAAAUGAUGGAUAUAUGAUUUCGCAAACUUAAGCAAAAAAUUCAAUUUAAACAUAAAACACAAAAGGUGAAUAUUCGACUUGUGAACAUGAGAGCUGUAUAAUAAAUACCUCAACCAUU